AUGGAGGCUGGCGUUCUCAGAGGCGGCGGGGAUCGGGCGUCUGUAAGCGAGGGGCCUGAGUCUAGGCUGGCCACCUUCAGGUUCUUCCGCGGGGCCCUCUUGAUGAAACAGCACUCCUGCCCUAGCGCUGGGGACCGCGACAGCCACGCCCCCGAGAGCCCUGCAGCCGGGCCAGGUGUUCCCAGGGCUCGCUCACCUUCCCGGCUCAUCGAGGCGCUUUCUGUGCCGGGCCUGGAGCUAUCCCGAGGAAAAUCGUACCCAGUUCCGUUCAGUUCAGUCGCUCAGUCGUGUCCGACUCUUUGCGACCCAUGGACUGCGGCACGCCAGGCCUCCCUGUCCAUCACCAACUUCCAGAGUUUACCCAAACUCAUGUCCAUCGAGUCCAUGAUGCCAUCCAACCAUCUCAUCCUCUGUCGUCUCCUUCUCCUCCAGCCUUUAAUCUUUCCCAGAAUCAGGGUCUUUUCAAAUGAGUCAGCUCUUCGCAUCAGGUGGCCAAAGUAUUGGAGUUUCAGCUUCAGCAUCAGUCUCCUUCCAAUGAAUAUUGAGGACGGAUUUCCAUUAGGCUUUCCUGUGGCUCAGCUGGUAAAUAGCACCCACUCCCAGAAAAAGCCACCUCCGGUCCCAAGGCCUCCCAGGCGAAAAGGGUGCGAGAGGUCUGUCGGCUGCCUUCCGCCGCCUGGAAGCGAAGCUGCAGCCCCAUCGCCAGUUUCCGCAUCCCAGUCGGUGCGUCCCCGGCGCCCGCGGUCCAGCCCCGAAGGCAGGGCGGGUCCACAGGCUUCGGUAACCGCUCCUCCCGCCCCAGCCCCGAACCCCGCGGCCGCUUUAACAGCCGUGGACGUGAGAAUUUUCCACCAAUCUGGAGACCUAGAUGCUGGCGCAGGAACCAAAACCCGAGGGCCGCGGAGACGCCAGAAGGGCGAGAAGCCAGGGAUCCCGCCUUUCCAGCACCGGGAGGGGGAGACCCCUGGGCGAAGAGCGCCCCCCCCCCGUGCCCACCACGUGCCCCCCUCUUGCCCCCCUCUCCAGGCGUCCCGGGUCACUUCCCGCCGUCCCCUCCCCAGCUUCCUCGCCCCUGCCCCUGGCGACCCUCCCGGGGUUUCCUUUGUCCCCCGCCCCCACGCCCUUGCCCCCUGGGCGUCCCGAGUCCGCUCCUUGGCCUGGUCCCCCCGCCUCCCAUGA
rnacentral:lncRNA from 1 species